AAAAUCUGUAAUUGCUUACAUGUUUUAUCUCUCUGGUUCCAUGAUGGCUUCCUUAAAAAUUUUUGAAGAUUCUCCUUCUCUAGAUCACUCAUAUAGACUACACAAAAUCCAAGCAUUUCUGCUGGUUGUUUCAUCAAAAUACUCAGUUGUAUUGGAUUUCAAACUUUGCAUCAUCUCAGGCACAAAAUUUUAAUUUGAUUAUUUUUAUCUCAAGUCAGUGUUCUGUUCAAUCUCAUUAUGAAUUGUUCCAACUCGGCAUUUUCUCAAUUUUCCGAAUUUGUAUGUUCAAAUUUUGGAUUCUGCUCCCUCCCCUCUUCAAUUCACUCUUUCAACUGAUAAACUAAUCUGCUUUAUAAUUACAUCUUGAAACUGAAAUUUGAUCUCGUGUUCCAUUUAUCUUUCAUGUUCUAUCUUGAUCAAACCAAUUUUGCUUGGAUAUUGUGAAAUUGUAAUUUUUUUCACCAUAGUUGUUACUGUGCUUUGGUUAUUGAACAAAUGAUUUCCAAUCUAUUUUAUGAAUUCGAAAAACAACACGGAAAUAUGUUUCAUCCUCUCAAUUACCAGUGGAUGAAUUUAGAAAGUUCUUCAAGCGGUGAGUCGUCAAAACCGUUUGAAAUGUUAAUGCGCCAAUCAACCGCAAUAAAAUAGGGAUAAAUGUACUGAGGAUGAUUCCUAGGAAAUCCGGUACGGAAUAUGUGAAUGGAAACAGUUUAGGAGGGACAGAUUUAGAAAGAAGAAGCGUGUCUAAUGAAGGUGAGUUGUCAAUUGGGACUAAAGUUUGUUGGAAUAAUUAUCUGUCUUAGAAAAAAACUCAAUCUAAAAGUUGUGGCAAAGAAGAAAAGUAACUGAAAACAAAUCCAAUUGAUAAGAUCACGAAGAGACUCCUAACAAGUUUGGUUCUGGGAUCCCAUGAAAAUUGAAAUCUGUAAAUUACACACGGAAUAGUUUAACCGACAGUACAGAGCAGCUGAUUCAGUUUUAACCUGUACCACACUCAAGAAUCAGUAUUUAGA